CGGGUCCCCAAAUUGCCGGUUUCCCUUUAGACAGCCGCCGUCUGCUUGUCGCCUGCUCCUCCUGUCUGACCCGGGACCGCCUCCGCUCGGCAUUGGGACCUCUGUACCUCAGUUUCCCCAUGUGUCCAAGGGGGACAAUAACCACACCCACUCAUGGGACUGCUGUGGUGAGUAAAGGAGCUCAGAGAGAGCAUUCAGAAGGCGUCUGGCACAAAGCGAACAUUUACAAAAUGCCAGUCUGGACUGUCAGCAGCAUUUUUACGUCCUCCUUGUGGGCCCCUGUCUGCAUGUGUCAGAAUCCAAGUGACACACUCAGGCGUUAGCUGUGUGGUCCCGAGCUGGUGGGUACCGAAAUACUUCUGAGUCUCGGUUUCCUUCCUAUAAGAUGGGCAUGACAACGGACCUCCCCCAGGGGAGGCUGGGACCAAAGGAAGCUGUGUCUGUAAGAAUUGACCCUGGUCUCUGUCCCCAGCGCCAGACACGAGGAGGCGCUGAGUGAAGUGGAUCUGAAUGGCCGACUGAAGGAAUAAAUGAAUGAAUGAAUUUCAGGCCACCACCACCUGUGUCUUGGGCUUGAGGGGCUGUGGGGAGGGCCCGGUGGGCUGCCAGGGCUGGCCUGGGGCCCUAGCCUCAGGGGACCCGCCUCGCCUGUCCCCCCAGCCCGCUGUUCCCACAGAUGAGGGCCUUGGAGGGCGUGGAGGGGGCCGGGAAGGGAGCGUCAGGCGCUGGCCCGCCGCCUGCCCUGGACGGCUGCCCGGAGCGUCUGCAGGAGGCAGAGGGGAGCUCCGGCGCCUGAGUCACCUCGGAGAAACCCCGGCCGCAUACCUGGCCGCUGACAUCAGCCGGCCAGGGCACCCCGUCAGCCCAGACAAGCGCACUGAAUCACAGGCGGAAUUCAGCCACCGCGGGCGCGGGCACGUGGCCACUGUGACCUCCCUCCCCCAAGCCACCCCCGCGUGGCCGUCUGGCUGCGGGGGCGGGCAGGCCGCAUUGGGGUCAGUGAGGGGGCAGGGGCCCUGAGUCAGGGACCCGGCGGCUACAGUUCGAGACCACCCGGCCGCAGGCAUCCUCGAGGUGCAGGAAGGAGAGUGUGGGAAGGGGAGCCAGUGUGGAGGCCCCCAGGGUGGCGAGGAGGAAGCCCCGUGGGUGUGACCGGGAGCCUGUGGAUUGCGGCCAGCUGCUGGAU
rnacentral:lncRNA from 1 species